AGAGUUUGAUCCUGGCUCAGAUUGAACGCUGGCGGCAUGCUUUACACAUGCAAGUCGAACGGUAACAGGUCUUCGGAUGCUGACGAGUGGCGAACGGGUGAGUAAUACAUCGGAACGUGCCUAGUUGUGGGGGAUAACUACUCGAAAGAGUAGCUAAUACCGCAUGAGAUCUACGGAUGAAAGCAGGGGACCUUCGGGCCUUGUGCUACUAGAGCGGCUGAUGGCAGAUUAGGUAGUUGGUGGGGUAAAGGCUUACCAAGCCUGCGAUCUGUAGCUGGUCUGAGAGGACGACCAACCACACUGGGACUGAGACACGGCCCAGACUCCUACGGGAGGCAGCAGUGGGGAAUUUUGGACAAUGGGCGAAAGCCUGAUCCAGCAAUGCCGCGUGCAGGAUGAAGGCCCUCGGGUUGUAAACUGCUUUUGUACGGAACGAAAAGCCUGGGGCUAAUAUCCCCGGGUCAUGACGGUACCGUAAGAAUAAGCACCGGCUAACUACGUGCCAGCAGCCGCGGUAAUACGUAGGGUGCAAGCGUUAAUCGGAAUUACUGGGCGUAAAGCGUGCGCAGGCGGUUUUGUAAGACAGUGGUGAAAUCCCCGGGCUCAACCUGGGAACUGCCAUUGUGACUGCAAGGCUAGAGUGCGGCAGAGGGGGAUGGAAUUCCGCGUGUAGCAGUGAAAUGCGUAGAUAUGCGGAGGAACACCGAUGGCGAAAGCAAUCCCCUGGGCCUGCACUGACGCUCAUGCACGAAAGCGUGGGGAGCAAACAG
rnacentral:rRNA from 1 species